rnacentral:lncRNA from 1 species
ACGCUGGGGAUGGCUGCUGCAGAUCACCAAAUGCAGGCUCCUGGUGUUCCUUGGUGUUUCCCAGAUCCCAGUCCAGAGCAGGUUGAAUGAUAUUCAGAAAGAGGAAAGGGAAGAAAAAAAACAGUCCAGGGAAAGAAUUGGACUGCUUAACCUAACUAGGAAGCAAAGCAAGAAAGCAAGAAAGCAGGCAAAGCAAGCAAGCCAAGCAAGCAAGCAAGCAAAGCAAAAGCCAGCCAGCCAGCCCUAGCCUUUUCUAGCUUUCCAGCAGACAUGGGGGGAGGUGAACCAGAUGAUAACACAGCAAAACAAACCUUCACUUUCAGAGUCAGUUCUGAAAGCACAGAACAUAAUAUCAAACGUAAACAGAACACACGAUUGGAGAUACAAACACCAUAACAGUCACCCUAGGACAUUCCACCCCUUAUCUCCAUAUCUUCAACAUCAUGUAAAAACUCCAUCAAGUUAAAACUUGUAUCUUUCACUCACUCAUUUCCUUCUUUCUCAUGUCUGUGUGUUUCAUGCACAGACAUUGGCAGUAACAUUCAGCAAACAGUGAUAUUUGCACAAUAGUUUCACCCCACAAUCAGAUCUCCCUGAGGUACACAUCGUGUUGUUCCAUCUCUCUGCAUUAUCCACCAUGUACAACCUGGUCCCUGAGCAAAGACAAUCCCACGAAUGGGUUUGUCUGUACUCGAGGCAGGAUUGAUCCACACUGAUUUCCCUAACAAACCUCUGACAUGUGCCACUGGGACUUUAUCUCCGUCUACUAUAUUCAGGGGCUCAGACUGGGCAGGACCUGCUCGAUUGGUGGAACCUCGGCUGUUAACUAACCAGGUGGCCUUUGCUAAAUGUUGCUCCCAAUUUUUGAAAGAUCCCCCACCCAAUGCUUUUAAGGUGGUUUUUAACAGUCCAUUGUACCUCUCCACUUUGCCUGCAGCUGGUGCAUGGUAGGGGAUGUGGUACACCCACUCAAUGCCAUGUUCCCUAGCCCAGGUGUUGAUAAGGCUGUUCUUGAAAUGAGUCCCAUUGUCUGACUCAAUCCUCUCAGGGGUACCAUGCCUCCAAAGGACCUGCUUUUCAAGGCCCAGGAUGGUGUUACGGGCUGUAGCAUGAGACACAGGGUAGGUUUCCAACCAUCCAGUGGUGGCUUCUACCAUUGUGAGCACGUAGCGCUUGCCUUGGCGUGUCUGGGGCAGUGUGAUGUAGUCAAUCUGCCAGGCCUCCCCAUACUUGUACUUGGACCACCGCCCACCAUACCACAGGGGCUUCACCCGCUUGGCCUGUUUGAUGGUAGCGCAUGUCUCACAGUCAUGGAUAACCUGAGAAAUACUGUCCAUGGUUAGAUCCACCCCUCGGUCUCGUGCCCACUUAUAAGUGGCAUCUCUACCCUGAUGGCCUGAGGCAUCAUGGGCCCAUCGUGCUAGGAACAACUCUCCCUUGUGUUCCCAGUCGAGGUCUAUCUUUGAUACCCCUAUCUUUGCAGCCUGAUCUACCUGCUGAUUGUUUUGCUGCUCUUCAUUAGCUCUGCUUCUGGGGACAUGGGCAUCUACAUGGCGAACCUUCACAGGUAGCUUCUCUACCCGGGUAGCGAUAUCUUUCCACUCUUCAGCAGCCCAAAUUGGUUUUCCUCUACGCUGCCAGUUAGCUUCUUUCCACCUCUCUAGCCACCCCCACAGAGCAUUGGCUACCAUCCAUGAAUCAGUGUAGAGGUAGAGCUUUGGCCACUUCUCCCUUUCUGCAAUGUCUAGGGCCAGUUGAACGGCUUUGAGUUCAGCAAACUGGCUUGAUCCACCUUCUCCUUCAGUGGCCUCUGCAACCCGUCGUGUGGGACUCCAUACAGCUGCUUUCCACUUCCGAUUCAUCCCUACGAUGCGACAGGAACCGUCAGUGAAGAGAGCAUAGCGUGUUUCCUCUGCUGGCAGUUGGUUAUAUGGUGGAGCUUCUUCAGCCCGUGUCACUGGUUCUUCUUCUUCAUCUGCGACACCAAAACUUUCACCUUCGGGCCAAUUUGUAAUUACUUCCAAAAUCCCAGGGCGAUUCAGCUUACCAAUAUGGGCACGCUGCGUAAUGAGAGCAAUCCACUUGCUCCAUGUAGCACUGGUGGCAUGGUGGGUGGAGGGAACCUUUCCUCUGAACAUCCACCCCAGCACCGGUAGUCGGGGUGCCAGGAGGAGUUGUGCUUCUGUGCCAAUCACCUCUGAGGCGGCCUGGACUCCCUCGUAGGCGGCCAAGAUUUCCUUCUCUGUUGGGGUGUAGUUGGCUUCAGACCCUCUGUAGCUCCGACUCCAAAAUCCCAGUGGUCGGCCCCGAGUCUCAUCAGGCACCUUCUGCCAAAGGCUCCAGGACAGACCAUGGUUCCCGGCUGCAGAGUAGAGCACGUUCUUCACAUCUGGUCCUGUCCUGACUGGGCCAAGAGCUACUGCAUGAGCAAUUUCCUGCUUUAUCUGGGUGAAAGCUUGCUGCUGCUCAGGGCCCCAGCAGAAAUCAUUCUUCUUGCGGGUGACCAGGUAGAGGGGACUCACGAUCUGACUGUACUCAGGAAUGUGCAUUCUCCAAAAACCAAUGGCGCCUAAGAAAGCUUGUGUCUCUUUCUUGUUGGUUGGUGGGGACAUGGCUGUGAUCUUGUUGAUGACAUCUGUAGGAAUCUGACGCCGUCCAUCUUGCCACUUCACUCCCAAGAACUGGAUCUCUCGAGCAGGUCCCUUCACUUUACUCUUCUUGAUGGCAAAACCAGCUUCCAGGAGGAUUCGGAUGAUUUUCUCUCCUUUCUCAAACACUUCUGCUGCUGUGUUCCCCCACACAAUGAUAUCAUCAAUAUAUUGUAGAUGUUCUGGAGCCUCACCCUUUUCUAGUGCAGUCUGGAUCAGUCCAUGGCAGAUGGUAGGACUGUGCUUCCACCCCUGGGGCAGUCGGUUCCAGGUAUACUGCACUCCCCUCCAUGUAAAGGCAAACUGAGGCCUGCAUUCUGCUGCCAGAGGAAUGGAGAAAAAUGCAUUGGCAAUAUCAAUAGUGGCGUACCACUUCGCUGCCUUGGACUCCAGCUCGUACUGGAGUUCCAGCAUGUCUGGCACAGCAGCGCUCAGUGGUGGAGUCACUUCAUUCAAUGCACGGUAGUCCACAGUCAAUCUCCAUUCUCCUUCAGAUUUACGCACAGGCCAAAUGGGGCUGUUGAAGGGUGAGUGGGUUUUGCUGACCACCCCUUGGCUCUCCAGCUCUCGGAUCAUCUUAUGGAUGGGAACCACAGCAUCUCGAGUUGUUCUGUACUGUCGACGAUGCACUGUUGAAGUGGCAACUGGUACCUUUUGUUCUUCUCCCUUCAACAGUCCUACUGUAGUUGGAUUCUCAGACAGUCCCGGCAAGGUGUUCAGUUGCUGGAUGCCCUCUGUCGCUACAGCUGCUAUCCCAAAUGCCCACCUGAGUCCCUUUGGGUCUUUAAAAUAUCCCCUUCGAAGGUAAUCUAUGCCCAAAAUACAUGGGGCCUCUGGGCCAGUCACAAUAGGGUGUUUCUUCCACUCAUUUCCUGUCAGACUUACAUCAGCUUCCACCACGGUAAAGUCCUGUGAUCCACCUGUCACACCAGCGAUAGAGACAGAUUCUGCCCCUACGUGUCUUGAUGGAAUUAAUGUGCAUUGUGCACCAGUAUCAACCAAAGCCUUAUAUCUUUGUGGUUCCGAUGUGCCAGGCCAGCGAAUCCACACAGUCCAGAAAACACGGUUUUCCCUCGCCUCUACCUGGCUAGAGGCAGGGCCCCUCUAAGCCUGGUUAUCCUUCUUGCCUUGGCCGUAUGUCUUAGAGGUUCCUUCAAGGGGAUCAGACAUGUCAUCAUCAUCAUCAUGCCUGGCAGUUUGGCUACGGGCAACUGGAGCUGCUCUCCUUUUGGUGGCACUUCCUCUCUGAAUCUUACCUUCCUUCAAUUCACGCACCCGUUGUGCCAGAGCACCAGUAGGUUUUCCGUCCCAUUUCCUCAUGUUUUCUCCGCAAUCGCGCAGGAAGAACCACAGCUCAGUUCGUGGGGUGUACCUUCUCUCACCAUCUGAGGAACGUCUACGUUGGAUACCAGAACCUCUGAUCUGUACUGCUGAGAUUUGGAGAAGGUCCUCCUUUAUCUCCUCCCUGAGUCUCUUAUGAUUCUCCUCUAUCUUAUCUUCUAAUUUCUGCAGACGUGUUUCCACUGCUGCAAUUCUGGCAUGGGUUGGGCCAUGUACAGCAUCUGCAUAUGCUCGGAGUUUCCUUGCCAUUUCGAGCACGGUCUCAUCCCUCUCAUCUUGCUUCAUUAUUGCUAAGGCAGAAGCGUAGUCAUGUGGCCCAAGCCGUACAAGUUUUCGCCACAUCACAGAUGUACAUGGUACCAAGUCUGGAUUCCUAGUUGUUAUUUCAUCUGAGAAGAUAAUCUCUGCCACUGCCAUUUCUCUCAGACGUUGGAUCCCUUGUUCUAUAGUCUUCCACUGGGUUUGCUGCAUAUAAAGAUCAUCUGCACACAGGUAUCUUUGUGCUACACUUUCCAGAACUCGUGCCCAGAGGCUGUGAGGGUUAGCCCCCCUCAUCAUUCCUUGAUCAAUAACAGGAUCAUGUGACAGGGAUCCCAAAUGUCUUGCCUCAGUACCAUCCAGAAUUGUAGCCUCGCCUGCAGCAUCCCAAAGACGGACCAACCAACUAAUUACAGACUCAUCAGGUCGUCGGGUAUAAUCCUUCCUCAGGCCACGAAGGUCCUUUAGGGAAAAGGACUCAGUAUUGGCCUCUGAUCUUGUACCAGUUGCUUUGACUUCUGAUUUUAUGUCAGCAGGCAUUGAGGGUCCCUCUCCUGCAUUAUCAUCAUCAUCGUCAUCAUCCACUGGUCGAUUGGUCUUUUCUGUGCGCUUCCCACUUCUUGUGCUAGUAGCAACAGCCAUAGGUUGAGGCUUGGCUGCUGAGUCUGGUUUAGCUGCUGGCCUAGGCUCACUGUCUGGUUUAGCUGCUGGCUUUGAGCCGGGGGUGUUUGCUGCAGCCUGAGUGACUGGGAUAGCUGCUGAUUUAUCUCCCUGCCCCCCUUCCUCUGUCUGCUGCCCUACAGUAUCUAGCAGGGUGCGAUAAGCAUAUGCCAGGGCCCAGCUCACUGCAAUGAUCUUUUUCUCCUUAGAGUUAUCAUAGCACUUCUCUUUCAAGUACUUCGCCACCUCAGCCGGAUUCUGAAUUUGUUCACUAGGAAAGUCCCAGGCUAUAGGGUCAGAAAAUUCCUUUAAAAUUUGGCCCAUCUCCUCCCAUUUCCCACACCACUCAGGAUUUCUCACACCUGGGUCUACUCCUGGGUCAGAGGUCUCAUCAGCCCCUCUAGAAAUCUCAGCCCUCAUUCUAGAGAGACUGCAGACUGUAUAGAGAAAGCUUACUAGAUUAAACACCAGGAAGAUGGUCUCCUUAACAGUCAGGGGAAACUGAACAUUCUCUAAUAGGGAGGUAACAAAUUCAGAGGAGAAGAAGGAAAGCAAAGGCUGAAAAGCCUCAUCCCCUACUUCCCCUCUAACAAACUGGCUGUACAACCAUAACCAUGAACCAUACAUUCCAGGAACAGACCUCAGCACCUUUAUAAACCCUCUGGAAGCUAUUACACCCAAGCACAGCACAAUGGAUAUUCUGGUCAGUGCCCUUCUACUGCAAAACCUACGUAUUAGGGACAAUACCGGAGCUAUUCCUGGAUAAAAAAAUAAACCUAGGGACCACAGGGGGAUUAAGAUCUGAAAAACCCCCAGGGACCAGAGACACAUGCAGGCCUUCACCCCAAGAGACAAGAUUAAUUCAAACAACAUAACCAGUAACUGCUCCAUACCCAGACAAAAUAAUUGGAACAAAAAUAUGAUUACAACAGGGUUUUUUUCCACUCUCUCGAGCCCCACGUUGGGCGCCAAAAUAUUUGUCCUAGUUUAGGGCAAAUUUGGGGAAAACCCAGGAAAUAAACCCCCACGGCCCCUCUCCACCCACCUGGUUCAGGGAAAAAAUCCCUCUGAGAGAGAAAUGGAAAAGAAC